GAUGAACGCUGGCGGCGUGCCUAAUACAUGCAAGUCGAGCGAACAGAUGAGGAGCUUGCUCCUCUGACGUUAGCGGCGGACGGGUGAGUAACACGUGGAUAACCUACCUAUAAGACUGGGAUAACUUCGGGAAACCGGAGCUAAUACCGGAUAAUAUAUUGAACCGCAUGGUUCAAUAGUGAAAGACGGUUUUGCUGUCACUUAUAGAUGGAUCCGCGCCGCAUUAGCUAGUUGGUAAGGUAACGGCUUACCAAGGCAACGAUGCGUAGCCGACCUGAGAGGUUGAUCGGCCACACUGGAACUGAGACACGGUCCAGACUCCUACGGGAGGCAGCAGUAGGGAAUCUUCCGCAAUGGGCGAAAGCCUGACGGAGCAACGCCGCGUGAGUGAUGAAGGUCUUCGGAUCGUAAAACUCUGUUAUUAGGGAAGAACAAAUGUGUAAGUAACUAUGCACGUAUUGACGGUACCUAAUCAGAAAGCCACGGCUAACUACGUG
rnacentral:rRNA from 1 species